rnacentral:rRNA from 1 species
UACGUAGGGUGCAAGCGUUAUCCGGAAUUAUUGGGCGUAAAGAGCUCGUAGGCGGUUUGUCGCGUCUGCUGUGAAAACUGGAGGCUCAACCUCCAGCCUGCAGUGGGUACGGGCAAACUAGAGUGCGGUAGGGGAGAUUGGAAUUCCUGGUGUAGCGGUGGAAUGCGCAGAUAUCAGGAGGAACACCGAUGGCGAAGGCAGGUCACUGGGCCACUACUGACGCUGAGAAGCGAAAGCAUGGGGAGCGAACAGG